rnacentral:rRNA from 1 species
UACGGGGGGGGGCAAGCGUUGUUCGGAAUUACUGGGCGUAAAGGGCUCGUAGGUGGCCAACUAAGUCAGACGUGAAAUCCCUCAGCUUAACUGGGGGAACUGCGUCUGAUACUGGAUGGCUUGAGUUUGGGAGAGGGAUGCGGAAUUCCAGGUGUAGCGGUGAAAUGCGUAGAUAUCUGGAGGAACACCGGUGGCGAAGGCGGCAUCCUGGACCAACACUGACACUGAGGAGCGAAAGCCAGGGGAGCAAACGGG